rnacentral:rRNA from 1 species
GAUGAACGCUGGCGGCGUGCUUAACACAUGCAAGUCGAACGGGGAACCUUUUAAUGCAGCUUCGGCAGAUUUAGCUGGUUUCUAGUGGCGGACGGGUGAGUAACGCGUGGGUAACCUGCCUUAUACAGGGGGAUAACAGUCAGAAAUGACUGCUAAUACCGCAUAAGCGCACAGGACCGCAUGGUCCGGUGUGAAAAACUCCGGUGGUAUAAGAUGGACCCGCGUUGGAUUAGCUUGUUGGUGGGGUAACGGCUCACCAAGGCGACGAUCCAUAGCCGGCCUGAGAGGGUGAACGGCCACAUUGGGACUGAGACACGGCCCAGACUCCUACGGGAGGCAGCAGUGGGGAAUAUUGCACAAUGGGGGAAACCCUGAUGCAGCGACGCCGCGUGAAGGAAGAAGUAUCUCGGUAUGUAAACUUCUAUCAGCAGGGAAGAUAGUGACGGUACCUGACGAAGAAGCCCCGGCUAACUACGUG